UUUUUUAUUUUUGGCUAGGGUUAUUCUUUCUUAUUUCUUAGUUUUUUAUGAAUAUAUCGGUUAAUGGCGAUUUUUAAUCUGCAUAUGCCGGUGUACCUCUUCUCAUUAUACUUCCGAUAAAUGAAUGCAUGCUACGAUGCCAUAUAUUGAUAAGGUGAUAAAUUUAGGCUGUUUUGCAAUUUAAUCUGUUUUUUUUUUGUUAUUUUGACCUAGCUUUUUGCGAUUCAAUCCUCCAAUCAAUGGAUGAAGUAAUGCAUUCUUACGGUCUAGAUUUUGUAUCAAAUUGUUCCAUUCUUUGGAUUCUGGAGAGAUUCAAGGUUCAGUUGAUUUUGUAUCAAAUGGUUUCCACCGGAAUCCAUCUGAUCUUUCUUUUUGUGGUAAUCGGUUUACGGUAAUAUCUGGGGCAAUAAGAGAGGUCGUUAGCAGUGAUAUCGAUUCUAUAAUCACAUGGUGUGGCGGUGCGAUAUAAUCACAUGGUGUGGCGGUGCUACAUAAUCACACAGUGAGAUUGGAUAGUGAAAUCAUGUUGUUGUUUUUUGGUAUUUUUUGGUGAUUUAAAUAGGUAUUAUUGGUUAAAUUGCUCUGGGAUUUUAUUGGUUGUUUAGCUAAUCCUAAAUUGUGGGUCUUAUUGUUGAUGCUUUAGAGCAGUCAUUGUUGUAUGUUCUUUUUCCUGUUGUUUUUUUUCUACUCUAAUUAUUCUUAUUGCUUUUUUUACCGGAAGAAUCAAGAUGUUUCUUUUUUACGUGUUGAUAUAUUAGUUUUUACUGUGUAGAUUAUGCUUUUUCGUUGGUCUUGCUUUUUUGCUGCUUAAAUCCACCAUAUUCAUAAGUAGUUUUCUCCGGCUGCUGUAUGUGUUGAUUUAUUAGUUUUUGUUGCUUAGAAUAUACUUUUGUCUUUUGUUGGUGUUGUUGCUUUCACUGCUUAAAUCCACCAUAUUCGUAAGGUAGUACUCAUAGGAAUCUAUGAUGUCUUAUGUCUUGGGAGGUUAAUAGGAACACAACAUUUGAAAGAAGGGAGAAGAAUGAAGAUGUCAAUAAGCUGAAGAUCAUAUGCGGUACACUGACUACCAAGAUGGCACAAUGCUUUGGCUACUUGAUAGUUGUUGUUUUUCAACCUACGUGUUGUACAUGAGUGAAGUCUUUCCUCGCAGCUGCUCAGACCACUCCUGAGUCAAGCUUGCAAUUGCUUGAAGAGCGCCUCCUCCAGUAUUGUUGGGAUUGGGAAUGUUGCCUUAUUCCCAAACAAAUGCAGUGUUAAUAUCCGUUAUAUAAGAUCAACCCUUUUACUGGACGCACUAAAUACAUAUCUUUAGUAUUCUUUAUUGUCACGGUUAUUAGUGUUUUUAUUUAUUAACCUGGAUAAUUGAGUAAUUUAUUAAUAGGGGUGAUAAAGUUGUUUAAAAAAGUUUGGAGUUCUAUAUAUUUGCUAAUGUGUGUUGCUGCAGGGUAGAGUAAGUAUCAGCUACUAAUAUAAUCAUGAUAAAAUGGAUGUUCAGUUGAUUAAGCACCUACUUGUGUGAAGCUUAAUUAUCAAUCAUUCACUGAUUACUGCGCAGGAAAUUUUACCUUUUCCUAUUAUUAUCAUCCGUAGAAACCACCUACGUAGUACAUUUAGCUAAUCUCUGUGAGAUAUAGCGGAAGUUUCUUCUUGCAUGCAGCAAGUAAAAAUUGGUGCAUAUGGAAGAAAAUAAAUGGUAGUAUAAUUUAUCAAAGGAACAUAAGCAAACACCAAAAAGAGAUUGUUAUGAAGGUUUUCAACUGGGAGUUGCCAUCAAAGAGUGCGAAAAAGGUGGUGAACUAAUGUGCACUUUGGCAUGAUUUCUUUUUGUACAUUCUUUAGUAUUUUUUUUUCCAUUUAAACUUUUUAG